ACUAAACGUUAUACGGCCGCGGAAUUCUGACCGUGCAUCGGUAGCAUAAUCAUUUGUUCUCUAAAUAAGGACUUGUAUGUAACGGCCACACGAGGGUUUUACUGUCUCUUACUUCCAAUCAGUGAAAUUGACCUCCCCGUGUAGAGGCGGGAAUGAGUUCACAAGACGAGAAGACCCUAUGGAUCUCUAACUAACUAGGCCAAGGAAAAUAAAUUUUGACCACCAAGGAAUAACACAUCGUUUAGGGAAUAGCAGUUUUGGU
rnacentral:rRNA from 1 species